rnacentral:lncRNA from 1 species
AUGCCCCGGCCUUGUGGGCUGAAGGGGGGGGGGGGGGGGGUGGGCUGGAACACUUUGCCCCAUCCUGUCCUGGGCAGAAAGCAGCAAGGAGACGCGGUGCCCUCUGUGUUGUGGCACCAGCUGGCGAAACCCAUAGACAGGCAUCCCUCAUCCCCAAGUGCCUGGCAGGUGAGCAGAGGAAGGAAUUCUGACUCCCAGUCUGAUCUGCGUCCUGGACUUGAUGGAGCCAGACAAGUCCAUAGGAAGGAGGGGGUUACCCUGGAGUCUUUCCCGGAAUCACGGCGCGGGCGGAACUUCCCCUGGGGAGGUUUUCCUGCUUUGAUUAACUUCUGCAACUCCCCAUUAAACAUUAAAAGUGAAGCAGACACCAGUUUUAAGGCCGUUUUCAUUACUGUGCUUAUGACGUAUGCCAUCAUUUAUGGGUUGUUUUUGCAAGGCUUCAGAGGCUCCUCCCUGUGUCUCGGCCGCUUACAGCAGUCGGAUCUGCUGCCUGGCGGGGGACGGUGCUCGGCUCUGCCCCUGUUCUGACGGAAACACGAGGAAUCAGGCAGGAAGACACUACACUUGAGCUCAUAGUUCACAG